AGCGAACGCUGGCGGCGUGCCUAACACAUGCAAGUCGAACGUGAAAGGGAUCAACCCCAAGUAUAGUGGCGUACGGGUGAGUAACACGUAGGUAAUCUACCCCAGAAUCUGGUAUAACCGGCCGAAAGGCUGGCUAAUACUCGAUAGUGCGACGGAAUCCGUACUUGGGUUUUUCGGGAAAGUUCGCCUGUAAAACGGCCUUCGUUCUGGGUUGCGCCUUCGUUCCAUCAGCUGGUUGGUGCGGAAAAAGCUUACCAAGGCAAUGUCGGGUAGCUGGGCGGAGAGGACGAACAGCCACACUGGGAAUGAAACAAGGUCCAGACUCCUACGGGGGGCAGCCGGGGGGAAUCUUGCGCAAGGGACGAAAGUCUGACGCAGCCACGCCGCGGGAGGGAAGAAGGCCUUCGGGUUGUAAAGCUCUGUCGAGUGGGACGAAAAUGCUUGGAGUUCACAGCUCCAGGAACUGACGGUACCACUAAAGGAAGCACCGGCUAACUCCGUG
rnacentral:rRNA from 1 species